AACGAGCGCUGGCGGCGCGCCUAAUACAUGCAAGUCGAGCGAGAAGACGUAGCAAUACGUUUGUAAAGCGGCGAACGGGUGAGGAAUACAUGGGUAACCUACCCUCGAGUGGGGAAUAACUAGCCGAAAGGUUAGCUAAUACCGCGUACGCUCCUUGGACUUCGGUUCAGGGAGGAAAGCGAUACCGUGGGUAUCGCGCUCUUGGAUGGGCUCAUGUCCUAUCAGCUUGUUGGGAGGUAACGGCUCACCAAGGCUUCGACGGGUAGCUGGUCUGAGAGGACGAUCAGCCACACUGGCACUGCGACACGGGCCAGACUCCUACGGGAGGCAGCAGUAAGGAAUAUUGCGCAAUGGGCGAAAAGCCUGACGCAGCGACGCCGCGUGGGGGAG
rnacentral:rRNA from 1 species